CCGGCCGGGAACUCAAAGGAGACUGCCAGUGAUAAACUGGAGGAAGGUGGGGAUGACGUCAAGUCAUCAUGGCCCUUACGACCAGGGCUACACACGUGCUACAAUGGCGCAUACAAAGAGAAGCGACCUCGCGAGAGCAAGCGGACCUCAUAAAGUGCGUCGUAGUCCGGAUUGGAGUCUGCAACUCGACUCCAUGAAGUCGGAAUCGCUAGUAAUCGUGGAUCAGAAUGCCACGGUGAAUACGUUCCCGGGCCUUGUACACACCGCCCGUCACACCAUGGGAGUGGGUUGCAAAAGAAGUAGGUAGCUUAACCUUCGGGAGGGCGCUUACCACUUUGUGAUUCAUGACUGGGGUGAAGUCGUAACAAGGUAACCGUAGGGGAACCUGCGGUUGGAUCAC
rnacentral:rRNA from 1 species